rnacentral:rRNA from 1 species
AUUGAACGCUGGCGGCACGCCUUACACAUGCAAGUCGAACGGCAGCACGGGUGCUUGCACCUGGUGGCGAGUGGCGAACGGGUGAGUAAUACAUCGGAACGUACCUUAUCGUGGGGGAUAACGCAGCGAAAGCUGUGCUAAUACCGCAUACGCCCUGGGGUGGAAAGCUUUUGCGGUGUGGGAUGGGCCCGCGGCCUAUCAGCUUGUUGGUGGGGUGAUGGCCUACCAAGGCGACGACGGGUAGCCGGCCUGAGAGGGUGACCGGCCACACUGGGACUGAGAUACGGCCCAGACUCCUACGGGAGGCAGCAGUGGGGAAUCUUGCGCAAUGAGCGACAGCUUGACGCAGCAACGCCGCGUGGGGGAAGAAGGCUUUCGGGUCGUAAACCCCUUUCAGUUAGGACGAAGCUUUAUUGGUUAAUAACCAAUUGGAGUGACGGUACUUUCAGAAGAAGCCCCGGCUAACUACGUGCCAGCCGCCGCAGUAA